rfam:Populus trichocarpa scaffold_10_contig_278, whole genome shotgun sequence.
UAAUAUGUUUGGAGCAUAUUCUCAUUUGGUUAUGGCAUACUCGCACUUAACUAUUCAGAAUCACUUAUUAUUGCAUAGACAAUAACCUUUUAAGAUUUUAAUUUUAAU